rnacentral:lncRNA from 1 species
GCCUUUGCAGCCUCCAUACUUAGCGAUGGCCUCCUGGACCCACUUUCUCUCUCAAACUGUCUUUUCUCAUUCCUUUGACUCUGCUGGACUUCGUCAUCCCCACGACCCGGUGUUGAGUCUGAUCACCCAACAUCAUCAGGAUAGAAGCUUCCCUCUCCUCCUCCAGACCUUGUGGUGUGCACGUGGGAGUCCAGGGACUAGAAUACUCAUUUUCAAAGCCUGACAUUGGACCCGGGAGACAGGGAAAAACCAUCCUCAGGAAGUCACAAGAGAAAGAGAGAGCACAGAGGUAUACAGCAUGUGAAACUUUGGACUGCUCAAAGAAGACAUUUUCAAACAUAUCUUUUCAGGACUGUCAAUAGGAACCGUAAGUGAGUUUCAGGUUCGCUCAUCUAAUUGUAGCAGUUAACUGACUGACAAGGUGAAGAAGGAUUGUGGUUUUCUGUUUCAGAUGGAAAAACUAAAAACAUAAGAGAAUCUCACAAUUAUCCACAUAUGCCCCAAAAGUUCAUACUACAGAAGAAUCUAUAUAUACUUAAACAGACUAUUGAGAAAAGUCAAGUUGUUUUUCUAUAUGAACCCAAUAAUGCAUUUUCAAGACACUGGAUAAAUUUAAAGUAAGGGUCUUACACAUUUACUACUGAAGGGCCAGUUAAUACAAAAAGAUCUAAUGCCGUUAUUGCAGACUUAUUCAACCAAAUUUCCAGCUAAUGCUUUUUAAAGAAUAAUUUCACAAGAAGUUUUAUUUUGGGCACAUGCCUUUGGUCUAUACUCCUUUUUGUCAAGUCAGCCAUAGCCUAUGAUCAAUGUGAGUUCUCCAGCCCACUUAAACAUGCACCCAUUCGAACACAUUGAGACCCACCUUCAGAUAGGAUGCCUAUAUUCUUUGGAUAGGCACUUAUUAGGUAAUGAAACAAUGAUAAGUAAUAACUGUCCUUUUAUAAUUGCUUACCUAAAAGAAAAAAGCUCAAUCACCUAGCCAGGUAAAACUCUUGUCAAGUAUUCACACAAUGUACUGUAACAUGAACCAAAUGCCUAAAUGAUACAUUUCUGCCCUCCAGAUACUUAAAACCUAAGUGGUACACACACACACACACACACACACACACACACACACAGACACACACACACACACACAUCUAUAGUCACCCUAUAUGGUUAAAAUGGAAAGAAGUACUAUAAAAAGAAAGAAAUAGUGUAAGAACCAACUUCCUAGUUGGAAAGUAGGUAUGCGAGAGACCAGUAUUUUAAUUUUUUUUCUCAAUCUUAGAAAAACGGGCAUUUUCCAGGAAACGGAAAGACUAGAAAUAAAAGUAGAAGAAAAAGGCUUAAACAAUAUUCUCCUUUAACUUUCUGUGAUACAUAUUCAUGCUAGUUUAAAAAAAAAAAUUCUCAAAGUAACUACAGCGGGAAUGUAGUAAGGUCACCAGAAGAAAUGUCCUGGGUCCAUUGGCCCAAUCUCUUACUGCUGGAUGAUGCGUGUGAAGAAACCAGAGAGGCGCAGAGUGAGGCAGUGAGGAAAUAAAAAUAGAGUCCGCGCUUUCAAGUGUUUCCUGAUCUGCUGGGGAAAAUGGUCAUAUUAACACAUGGAGUCAUGGCACAGUGUGUGCUAAGGAUCAUGGUAAAGGUGUACACAGUGAUUUGCUAACAAGAGGGAUAGAAGGUGUGGCUCAGGGAAUGACACAGCUGUCUGAAAGAGUCAAAAUGUACCACAGAGAACGUGACAGAGAUCUGGAUCUCAAAGAAAUGAGAGGUUGCCUAGGGAGCAACAACAAGGAGGGCAUUCCUGGCAGAGGAAAUGGCAUGUGCAAAGAGACAUCAAGAGGAUGAAGCAUUAGAAAUAUAACUAAAUUAUGGUUAUAGCUUGGGUGCCUAUUAAUAGAUCUGCUCAAUAUUAGGCAAAAACAAUAACAAUUGAGAAUUUGUAUAUCAUCUUUGGUGUCUUCUUUGAUAACUUAUUUUGUGUAUGUGUGUUUUUCUUUCCUGCUACUACUCUGGAGACUUGUUCCACUGGUGACCUUUAUGCAUUCUAAACAAUCGUAAUUUCACAGAGUAAGUUGUUCUCUUCUCCCUAUGUGUUUUGUCACUAGCCAUUGUUUUAAAGUAGCUUGCUUGGUUUUUUGUAUUGCAUCUUGUGAAAGCCUAGAUGCCUAGGGGCUUUCAUACAAAUGUAGAAGUCAAAAUACAUUUCUUCUUGGAAGGUAAUAAAGUGUGAAUGUUUUCAACAAAUAAAG